GGUCGUCAGGAUUUUGACUUCAACCUCUCCACCCGGUGCCGGAGUUAGAACGCGGGCGGCAAGUUCAAUCUGCAAACAGCCACCCAUGGUGCCGUGGACAGGUACGACGUCAAAGUAGAUGAACGGCGCGGNGUGGUCAAAUCCUCAUAGUUGAAAUGGUCAGCAGACUGCUUGGUCCUUUUAGGGCCAGACAUUGAAGA
rnacentral:misc_RNA from 1 species